CUUGUAGAGCCUCACACAUCAUUUCCCCUGUAACAAUGAUCAGAUUCUGUUUGGCAAAGAUCACAGCAUAUACUGGGAGGCUUGGAGGACAUGGCUAAAAAUACAGCAAAAUUACUCCAGUUAUAGUAUCAUGGAACUUCUGAGUCACUGCAGAACUCAUAGAACAAAAUGAAAUGAUCAAAGUAGAACAUAUUUAAAACACACGCACACACUGAAGCAACCCUAGUUUUUUGACAUAAUAUCCUCUAAGGACAAAAACAUAGAUUGUGACCAAGAUUAAUGGUGCAGAUUUUACUCUAAUUUCCGGUAGUGGAAUUUCAAAGCCAAGAACUAUUGUUGAACUUGAAUCUCACCAUUUCACAGAGCAGCCAAGCCCUCUUUGACUCAUUCGUCCCCUAACAGAAAGAGAUCUUCAAAAUAGCACGGCGGAGCUUCUGAUGGCUGAAGUGCUGCUGAGUAGAACUUGUGCUUUAAUUUCCUUUCUGGUCUUAGUUGACCGUUGUGGCACUGUGAACUGUUGCUUUAUCUCGUAUUUUUUUUUCUGUUAUUGUAGUUGUACAUUUUAAAUACAAUCUUUCUAUUGAGAAAUAUCUCACUGACGGUGAAUAAAUAUUAUUCAUACAAGUAACUCUCCUUCCAGCUAUCCCCAAAUCAUCCUUUUCAUGUUCCUGCUCAAUGAAACUUUCAAAAUCAUUUAUUCACUCAUAUUUCUUGGCAAGUUUUCCUUGACUGCCUGCUGUGUAGAAGCAGAGAAAGUGACAGGGUGAUGUCCUCCAUUGCUAUUAAAGCCCCAAAGGGCUUUGCCCAGGGUUCCGCUUGUUUUUUAGUGAACUGUGAGGUGGAACUACCCAGGAUUAUCACAUGGUUAGCCCUGUUGACUGACUCUGCCUAGAUACCCAGAACCAUGGAGUGUUCUUCACGCUAACAGUCCUUUCUUCCUGUGCUUCUAGAGACCAGGCAGAAGUUACCAACUUCCCGGAAUAAUUGUCAGCUGUGCGUUUUGGCUGUUUGGGUUUAGCUUCCUCUCCGUUCUCUAAAUAUUUUCUUUUUCAAAGUGCCUCACUUCCUUUGUUAGAAACUAAGUUUCCCUGACCUUCUCUUUUCCUUUCUGUUUCUAAUGGUCCUUGAAAUGAAAAUAGUUCGUUGAGUUUCCUUACGUGUACUUGGGCAGCCUACUCAAUGACUCGUGGGAGAAUAAUAGCUGGUGACCUGUGGCGCUCUCCGUUGAGAGAGAAUGCGCAGUUUGCAUUUUGGCAGCUAAACAUAGGGAUGGAUUUAAAAACGAAUGGGUUCUUUCUCUGUCACUCAGGCUGGAGUGUAGUGGCACAGUCACAGCUCACUGCAGCCUUACCUUCUGGGCUCAAGUGAUCCUUCCGCCUCAGCCUCCUGAGUAGCUGGGACUACAGGUAUGUGUCACUACAACUGACUAAUUUUUAAUUUUUUUAUAGAGACACAGGAUCUCACUAUAUUACCCAGGCUGGUCUUGAACUCCUGAGCUCAAGCGGCCCACCCGCCUCAGCCUCCCUAAGUGUUGGGAUUAGAGGCAUGAGCCACGGUGCCUGGCUAUCACGCAAUUCUUAAGUGCUUAUUCCAGUAGCAGAAGAGAUUAGAAAGGCUGGCUUUUUCCAACAGUGGGAGCUUGAAUCUGGAAAAUCUUAAACUAAAGUUGUUGUAAUUUCACACUACUAAGAAGCACUUUGCUCAUGCAACUGAAAAAAAAAUUAAGUGCCUACCUGGGUGAUUCCAGGGCACUUAUAAGCAACUAAGACUAAUUAGAAGCCCUCAUAGCCUCUAAUGAAAAGGUAGGAAGUAAUUCGCUCUAUGAUACAAAAAUUCCUGGAUGUUUGGAAUUGUUUUACAUCAUUGGGCACAGGAUUCCUUACUGGGAGCUUUUGCUUUCCCAGGGCCAAAGUCCCUGUUCUAUGUCACACAUUGUGGAGGGCAGGGGACAAAUGGAUACAGAGCUUGGUAUCCACUGAUAUGGCUCCCACAAAGACAUUUGGGAGGAUGAGUAAGGAAAGAGAGAGGCAAUAUCUCAGUACCAGUUGUAACUGGAAAAUGUCAUUUACAUGGAAUGAGAACUUACAUGGGGCGAGCUGAGAAGCACUUUCAGUUGAAGCAAAUAGAAAAAUUAAGGCACUUUCCUUUACUUUUAGUUAUUUUUAAACACGUAUCUUUAUGCUCAGAUCUUUCUUUUAUAACUGGGUUAUAACUGGGGAGAAUAAAAGGAUCCGGGCAUGAGAGAAAGUGAAAUCAAGGGAGGAAGAGGGCAUGCAAUGGGGGAAGGGAGGAGCAGGAAUGUCCACUUUACUGAAUACACAAUACUGUAAAAGAUGGAUCCUGCCACAUUCUUCCCCCAAUCAACUUGGAUGAAAAACAGAAAUACUACAUUCUUAAACACAGUUCAUUUUUAGUUUGUCGUGGCAAUACAUGGAAAAAAAUCAGGCCACUGCUAAGCAUCUAUAGAGUGCAUCUUUGGCAAAAAUGUGGACCUGCAACAAUUCGGAUG